ACGCCUGAAGGAAGGACAUUAUUGAGUUCUGAACAGGUUGUAGCUGGCCUCUAACGAGGUAAUGUGCACACUUGGCUCAUUUCUACUCUCAACCUCUGUGCACUCUUAGUAAGAAAUGGGUGAUAAAUUAGCCUUGGCUGAUUUUGAAGCUCUUCUUAUGUUUUAAUCACAUACAACUAUUGUUUAGAAUGUUGACUUGCAUUGAAUGCAUGUAAUACUAUAUAUAACUUUCAGCAACGGAUCUCUUGGCUCUCGCAUCGAUGAAGAACGCAGCGAAAUGCGAUAAGUAAUGUGAAUUGCAGAAUUCAGUGAAUCAUCGAAUCUUUGAACGCACCUUGCGCUCCUUGGUAUUCCUUGGAGCAUGCCUGUUUGAGCAUCAUGAAAUUCUCAUGUCUACAAAUUUUCUCAUGAAUCUUUGUUUGACGUGGAUUUGGAGGUUGUGUGCUGGCUUUGUUUGAAGUCGGCUCCUCUGAAAUACAUCAGCAUGAAUCUUACUGAUCAUUCUCAAUGUGAUAAAUUUCUGCGUUGUGAGUGUGAUGUACUUGAGUGAUACAUGCUUUUCGAUUCAUCUUGAAGAUGAUCAUUUCUGCUUCUGAUCUCAAAUCAGGUAGGAUUACCCGCUGAACUUAAGCAUACUAA
rnacentral:rRNA from 1 species